rnacentral:rRNA from 1 species
CUAGGUGGCAAGCGUUGUCCGGAAUUAUUGGGCGUAAAGCGCGCGCAGGUGGUUCUUUAAGUCUGAUGUGAAAGCCCCCGGCUCAACCGGGGAGGGUCAUUGGAAACUGGGGAACUUGAGUGCAGGAGAGGAAAGUGGAAUUCCACGUGUAGCGGUGAAAUGCGUAGAUAUGUGGAGGAACACCAGUGGCGAAGGCGACUUUCUGGCCUGUAACUGACACUGAGGCGCGAAAGCGUGGGGAGCAAACAGGGAUUAGAUACCCUGGUAGUCCACGCCGUAAACGAUGAGUGCUAAGUGUUGGGGGGGUUUCCCGCCCCGUCAGUGCUGCAGCUAACGCAUUAAGCACUCCGCCUGGGGUAGUACGGUCGCAAGACUG